rnacentral:rRNA from 1 species
CGGAUCAGCAUGCCGCGGUGAAUACGUUCUCGGGCCUUGUACACACCGCCCGUCACACCAUGGGAGUCGGUAACACCCGAAGUCUGUGGCCUGACGCAAGAGGGCGCAGCCGAAGGUGGGAUUGAUGACUGGGGUGAAGUCGUAACAAGGUACC